AUAAUUUUCCAAGAAUGGUUCGGAUACAUUGGUUUUGCCGCCGCCAAAAAAACAUCAGAGUGUGUGGGCUGUCCAUUCUCAUUGAGGCUCAAUAUUGAAUACACGAGAAACAUUCAUUGGGCUCUCCCAGGAGUAGCGUUCAGGUUUUAGGCCACUAUAACUAGGCUAGUAGGCCAUCUUCCAUGAGUCUUUGUUUGAUCUCUGACCCCAAAUGUGGAGCAUCUCCUCCACAUGGAAGGAAAUGAACGCUUUGAAUACCACAUUAGCAUUCGGCAAGUUAAAACGGCAACGGUUAUGAGGGCAUAAUGAGGGAAAAUAAAACAAAAUCAGUAAAAAAAAAAAA
rnacentral:misc_RNA from 1 species